AGUCACUUUGUCUUUUCUGAAGGGAAUACUAUUCUAAACUAGAACUUCAAACUUCAAAGCAAUGACCACCAAUUGUUUAUUUGUAAAAAUUUGAUGUUGUAAUUUCUAAUACCUUAACAUGCUGCAGCACUGUAGCAGUGAAGAAUACAAUUAAUGGAGAAGAAAGAGUGAUACUUGAUGCAAGAGAAGUCAUUUCAGGGCUCCAGAAUCCAAUUGUUAAGGAUUCAAAGAGUGUGUGGCCAACUGAAUCAGCUAUUGUUUAGAGCCAAGUAAGUAAUCUUAUUGUUAUAUCAAGAUUCACCUCUCUCUUGAAAUGACCCUUAGUUGACUCCUUUAUUUAUUUAUUUUAUAUUUAUUCAUACACUUU